UACGGGGGGAGCAAGCGUUGUUCGGAUUUACUGGGCGUAAAGGGCGCGUAGGCGGCCAGCACAAGUCAGUUGUGAAAUCUCCGAGCUUAACUCGGAAAGGUCAACUGAUACUGUGCGGCUAGAGUGCGGAAGGGGCAACUGGAAUUCCUGGUGUAGCGGUGAAAUGCGCAGAUAUCAGGAGGAACACCGGUGGCGAAGGCGGGUCUCUGGGCCACUACUGACGCUGAGGCGCGAAGGCGUGGGGAGCGAACGGG
rnacentral:rRNA from 1 species